rnacentral:rRNA from 1 species
UACAGAGGUCCCAAGCGUUGUUCGGAUUCACUGGGUGUAAAGGGUGCUCAGGCGGACUUGUAAGUCAGAGGUGAAACUCCGAGGCUCAACCUCGGAACUGCCUUUGAUACUGCAAGUCUCGAGUACGGGAGAGGGUAAUGGAAUAACAGGUGUAGCAGUGAAAUGCGUAGAUAAUCUGUUAGAACACCAAUGGCGAAGGCAGUUGCCUGGCCCGUUACUGACGCUAAAGCACGAAAGUGUGGGUAGCAAACAGG